GCUUAGCCCCGAUUGAAUGGAUGCCCACGAUAUUACAUCGGGGCAGGAAGGAAAGCGGGACUACCG
rnacentral:sRNA from 1 species